rnacentral:misc_RNA from 1 species
GAUGAAGAACGCAGCGAAAUGCGAUAAGUAAUGUGAAUUGCAGAAUUCAGUGAAUCAUCGAAUCUUUGAACGCACAUUGCGCCCCUUGGUAUUCCGAGGGGCAUGCCUGUUCGAGCGUCAUUAUAACCACUCAAGCUCAGCUUGGUGUUGGGGCCUGCUGCACUGGCAGCCCUUAAAAUCAGUGGCGGCGCCAUCUGGCUCUAAGCGUAGUAAUUCUUCUCGCUAUGGAGUCCUGGUGGAUGCUUGCCAUCAACCCCCAAUUUUUCUAUGGUUGACCUCGGAUCAGGUAGGGAUACCCGCUGAACUUAAGCAUAUCAAUGAGCGGAGGA